rfam:Human astrovirus type 2 M358 capsid precursor protein gene, partial cds.
GGAGACCGCGGCCACGCCGAGUAGGAUCGAGGGUACAGUCUCC